rnacentral:piRNA from 1 species
UAGACUAUCUUUAUUCAGUGGUGUGA